rnacentral:rRNA from 1 species
AUUGAACGCUGGCGGCAUGCUUUACACAUGCAAGUCGAACGGUAACAGGCCGCAAGGUGCUGACGAGUGGCGAACGGGUGAGUAAUGCAUCGGAACGUGCCCAGUCGUGGGGGAUAACGCAGCGAAAGCUGUGCUAAUACUGCAUACGAUCUACGGAUGAAAGCGGGGGACCGUAAGGCGUCGCGCGAUUGGAGCGGCCGAUGUCAGAUUAGCGAGUUGGUGGGGUAAAGGCCCACCAAGGCGACGAUCUGUAGAUGGUCUGAGAGGACGACCAGCCACACUGGGACUGAGACACGGCCCAGACUCCUACGGGAGGCAGCAGUGGGGAAUUUUGGACAAUGGGCGCAAGCCUGAUCCAGCAAUGCCGCGUGCAGGAAGAAGGCCUUCGGGUUGUAAACUGCUUUUGUACGGAACGAAACGGUCUGGGUUAAUACCUCGGGCUAAUGACGGUACCGUAAGAAUAAGCACCGGCUAACUACGUGCCAGCCGCCGCGGUAA